rnacentral:rRNA from 1 species
GACGUAGGAUGCAAGCGUUGUCCGGAAUUAUUGGGCGUAAAGAGUUCGUAGGCGGUUGUCUAAGUCUGAUGUUAAAUACUGGAGCUCAACUCCGGCAUGGCAUUGGAAACUGGGCAGCUAGAGUGUGGUAGAGGUCUCGGGAAUUCCAGGUGUAGCGGUGAAAUGCGUAGAUAUCUGGAGGAACACCGGUGGCGAAAGCGCGAGACUGGGCCAUAACUGACGCUGAGGAACGAAAGCCAGGGGAGCGAAAGGG